CCUACAGGGGCUUAUGCUUUAAAUUAACUUCUUUAUUCACAAUCAUCGAGUACAGGAGUAUACUUUCUAGUUAUUAAGAAGCACCACCAGUUAUUAAGGAGACUGUUGUGUUCAAGACUCAGCAAAGAUUAAAGAAGCACCACCAGAAUUUGAUACAUGAAAAACAGAUGAAAAUGAAAAAAUAUAAGGAGGCAGAGAAGCCUGAGGCAGAGGAUCAAUUUAUGACCCCACUGUUUGAAUCAAUGGACACAAUAAUGAUGAAUGAUUUCUGUACAGAUGAAGUUCCAAUUUUAGAACCUAAUUAAGCAACCUUAUUGUAUAUUUUGACUUAAUUAGAGGACAAUAGUUGAUGUAUCAAUACACUUUGUUGAUGUAUGGUUGUUACUUGUUAUUAUAAUUGAUGUAUCAACACUUUGUUUAUAUUUUGAAAUAUAUUAACUUGUUUGUUUA